UUCUAUAAUAAUGAACCCAGAAUGUAAAAGAGGACUUUUUGGUACUGACUGUUUUUUUAACAACAAGGUAUAUAUGAUUCGGCACAGCCGAAUAUAGAACUCUUACUUGUUUUUACUAAAGCUAUCUGCAAUCAACAUUUUUCAUCUCACAAAAAAUUUUAGAGUCCAUUUUUAAUGACAAAUAUAUAUAAAUGACCCAUAUAUUAGCUGAUUUAUUACCUUUCCAACGAUAUAUAUUUAAUUAAUUCUUUACAACUAUUUUUUUCUUUUGUCUAUUGGACAACGUACUGUGCGACGUAAGCAGAGAUGAUGUAGCACAACCGUUAAUGACAUGCUGGGAAGCAACAAACCUAGAAGAGAGGAAGAUUGGAUGACGGACGAAAUACGAGAGCUACGAAAGAAAUAAACACAGGGGCAAUUCCAUGAAAAGUGCAGUUCUCACUCUCUCAAAAUGAUUGGCAAUAACUGUUUUAGAGUAUGUUGAUCAGUACAUAAACAAAAUGCUUUAAUGGCUCAUACCUUGAGCUUAGUAUGAUGGAUUACAUCAGGCGAUAAUACAUUCAAUCCUUCUAUCAAAAAAAGUUUUUUUAAGCUCCCUUAAAUGUUGAUGGCUAUUUGGGAUAGAUUUAUUGAAUCAAGGUGUGAUAACAACUAUAUUUUAUUACGUCUACUUUCUACGCAAAUGUUUUUUGGUUUAAUUUCAAUUUGAAAUGGUUUAUGAAGGAAAUUAUGAUGAAAAAUAAAAGAGAAUUACAUUACUAAUUACAAUCAAAACAAAACUAAAAAUAAAUUUUAUAUUUUAUAA
rnacentral:misc_RNA from 1 species